CAAAAUAUUAUCUGCUCACUGAUAUGUUGCAGUGUAACCCGUUUCUACCAUAUCAAGGCCUUCUGGCCAAAACCUUACCUGUUUGGUAGUCUUUUUGUAGUGCCUGUCUGUGAUACAACAUCUCCACUACAUGGCAUUUUUUCAACACGAACUCCUGAUUUUUUGGUACCUUCGGAUUCGUGUUCAUGAAGUUUUCCUGUACUUUGUACACUGACAUGUUCCACAACCUUCCAGGAGGAGGAGAAAUUGAUGAUGAAGAUGUUACUAAGUGGCUAAAUGAGGAAAACUGUGAUACGAAACAAACUUUAACAGAUGAAGAAAUAAUCAAAAACGUGCAAGAAAGUAAUGAUGAAAGUGAUGAAGAAGGGGGCAGAGGAGGAGAGUGGAUGAAUAAUUCUCACACUGUUGGUGUUGAAGCUGCCGAGGUCUUCCUGGAGUAUAUUAUGCAACAGCCAGAUAGAUGCAGUACUGAUGUAAUGUUUGUGAAGUGGUUGCGUGAUAAAGCAUGCCACUGUCACAUAUCAUUCUGAUAGUUAAAAAUUAGGGUCAUGUUUCAUAGUGAGUGAUAUAACUGUAUAGUUAUGUACAGGAUACACUCAAGGAAUAAGUUUUCUUUGAAAAUUAAUGUGUUUUCGGAUUGAAUUAAGUAUAUCUUCUAUGUUCCCGAUUAGCAAGAGUCUAGUGUAUUUAUAUUAUAAUCUGUGAGCACCAGACUUUGAUAUAGUUUUAAUGUUACAAGCAACAAACACUUUUGCAGUUGAACAAAUUAAGCCAGAAUAUGUUUGAAGUCAGCACAGUGGUGGCACAUCCAGAACCUGUUUCCUGUCUUAGUUAUUUCACAAUGUUCACCAUUUUUGUUGGUUAUGUUAAAUUUGGCAUCAAUAAAGAUUUUUACCAACUGAG